UACGGGGGGAGCAAGCGUUGUUCGGAUUUACUGGGCGUAAAGGGCGCGUAGGCGGCCACUGCAAGUCGGUUGUGAAAUCUCCGGGCUUAACCCGGAAAGGUCAAUCGAUACUGCAGGGCUAGAGUGCAGAAGGGGCAACUGGAAUUCUCGGUGUAGCGGUGAAAUGCGUAGAUAUCUGGAGGAACACCGGUGGCGAAGGCGGCGUUCUGGACUGCAACUGACACUGAAAAACGAAAGCCAGGGGAGCAAACGGG
rnacentral:rRNA from 1 species